rnacentral:rRNA from 1 species
GACGAACGCUGGCGGCGUGCCUAAUACAUGCAAGUAGAACGCUGAAGGAGGAGCUUGCUUCUCUGGAUGAGUUGCGAACGGGUGAGUAACGCGUAGGUAACCUGCCUGGUAGCGGGGGAUAACUAUUGGAAACGAUAGCUAAUACCGCAUAAUAGUAGAUGUUGCAUGACAUUUGCUUAAAAGGUGCAAUUGCAUCACUACCAGAUGGACCUGCGUUGUAUUAGCUAGUUGGUGAGGUAACGGCUCACCAAGGCGACGAUACAUAGCCGACCUGAGAGGGUGAUCGGCCACACUGGGACUGAGACACGGCCCAGACUCCUACGGGAGGCAGCAGUAGGGGAUCUUCGGCAAUGGACGGAAGUCUGACCGAGCAACGCCGCGUGAGUGAAGAAAGGUUUUCGGAUCGUAAAGCUCUGUUGUAAAGAGAAAGAAACGAAGUGUGAAGAAGUGGAA